GACGAACCGUGCAAACGUUGUUCGGAAUCACUGGGCUUAAAGGGCGCGUAGGCGGCUCAUCAAGUCGGGGGUGAAAUACUUCAGCUUAACUGGAGAAGUGCCUUCGAUACUGGUGGGCUUGAGGGAGGUAGGGGUCUUUGGAACUUCUGGUGGAGCGGUGAAAUGCGUGAUAUCAGAAGGAAGCCGGUGGCGAAGCGAAGG
rnacentral:rRNA from 1 species